rnacentral:rRNA from 1 species
AUUGAACGCUGGCGGCAGGCCUAACACAUGCAAGUCGAGCGAGCGGCGGACGGGUGUGUAAUGUAUGGGGACUGCCCGAUAGAGGGGGAUAACUACUGGAAACGGUAGCUAAUACCGCACACUAUCUGAGUACCCACAUGGGAUUAGCGAGUAGGGGGGGUAAUGGCUCACCUAGGCGACGAUCCCUAGCUGGUCUGAGAGGAUGAUCAGCCACACUGGGACUGAGACACGGCCCAGACUCCUACGGAGGCAGCAGUGGGGAAUAUUGCACAAUGGGCGCAAGCCUGAUGCAGCCAUGCCGCGUGUAUGAAGAAGGCCCUAGGGUUGUAAAGUACUUUCAGUCGGGAGGCGUUACCGACAGAAGAAGCACCGGCUAACUCCGUGCCAGCAGCCGCGGUAAUUC